AUCUUAAGUAACUAUGAAAUACAUAUCCAGACAGGAAGAAAUCAGAGACAUUUCUUGGUAGAAAUAGAUAAUUAUUCUUAUUUUGAGAAUAUUUUUUCUGGAUUACAGGAAAUAGGAGGGAGAGUCCCCUCUCAACUUCAUAUAAGAAUAAACAAAAGGUAUUAAAUUUGGGAAAGCUACUCAUGCAUCUUGUCAAUAGCCACACAAAACUGGCCCAAGCAUACCUGUCACAGACAAAUCAAACUCAAACACCAUUUAAUCAGAGAAAAACACAUGCAGAUGUUCAAUUAAAAACUGGAGCCUACAGUCUUGGCUCUGUUUGCACUGGCCCACAUUGUUUGUCGAGUAACAACGGUUGCUAUGGGUGACACAGUCCACUCCCGUUUCCAAGGGCUGGUUGCUCGGCGACAGAGAGAAUACUUCCCAAACCAAACAAUGCUAUCCCCUAGCCUAUCCCUCUCUCCCGCCCCCGCCAUCACACAUUAACCAGAUCGAAAACACACUUAAUAUGUCAGUGAUUAUUUUCAGAAGCCCUGGGAGGACUGAUAAAUAAUUUCUUCUCUAUAGUAACUAAGGAGGUGGGGUGGAGGGAAGGUUUAUUCUAUUUAUCCUGAAAUAAUAAAACAAUCCAGGCAGACAGUGUUCUUAAAAGCAAAUGUCCAGGAAAAGAACACUUUUAAAUCCCUCUUUUAUUUUAAAAAUAUCAACAAAUUAACCUCUCUUUGAGGUGAUUACUAGUCAUUAUGCAAGUGAUUGUCUUCUCUUCCAGCUUCUACAGGAAGUAUGAAGUAUAGGCUACAACACAGCAAGUUUACAACAAAAACAACACUACCAUGCAAACAAACAAGCCCGAGAGGAGAAAGUUUGAGGCUGCUUUUGUGUCCUAUAAUAGUAAUGCUUCAGAGAAGAAAUGCACUGAAGAGUAUUUUUUCAGAAUUCUGCGAACAUGUGAAGCUAAUUUGAACUCCACCUUCAGCAUUAUUGUGGUGAGAUCUGAGGCUGGAAUUCCUUGCUCAGAAUAAAGUCUUAAAGAGUGUUUUAGGAAAGUGCUAAGGUGGUUGGUAUGAAAAUACAGGAAUUUUUAAAAAAUUUUGCUAGAUUGGUAGAAAUGGAAGACAAUCAUAGAUACAAUGGCAUGAACUGAAACAUAAAAAUUCUUCUGCACUUGCUAAUUAUUAUUAAAGCCACAUGUUACCCUUUUACACUCCCAACAUCAGUGGGAACUGUGACUGCAGAAUUUAUCCCACAGCUCCGAUUCUGAAGCCAAAGUUCUUUCACUUUUAAGGUCACCAUGACAUUGGCUCAUCUUCACACUGAUUAAAGACUAAGUUUUUAGGAAACGUUGCUAAUUCUAAAUAUUUGAGAUUUUUAGGAGUUUUUAAAUGACUAUGGCAUGAAAAUGAAACAGAUUUUUUUCAGGCUUUUAUCCAGUGAUAGCUCAGUCUUCCAGUUUAAGAUAUCAGAAUUACAAUAAGGCAUUCUCUCUUCUGCAAGAGGAAAUCAUAAGUAACAGAAAUGAAAUCCACAGGAUUGUAAAUCAUUGCUUUAAACUCCCUACAAAAAAACUGUGCUUUAAUGCUUUUAACCAAGAUUUUGUGCUUGAACUUUAAAGGCUUUUUUUAAUACUGUCACUGACACAAAUGGAUGUACUCAGCAGUCUUCUGCCAUCUAGUUGUGGUCAAUCCCUGGGAGGUGGAAUCCGUGUUCAGUCAGAUGACUUGGCCCAAUGGCACUGUAGAGCAUGUGACCACUUCCUGGAAGAUGUUCCCAGUGGCAUUAACAGAAACUGGAGUGAAUUUCACCCUGUCUCUGUAAAUCAGACAGGUGGUCAAGACCAAUGGAAUGCCAAGACAGAAAUAAAAGUGGCUAGAGCUCAUGGAAGCAAGGCCCUUCCCAUCAGCUGAAGGAGGAGCCGCAGGACUUAAUUAAGUAUGAAAUAUGCUAGACUGAGAACUGAAGAACAAAGGCCUCUGUUUAACCCUGAAGGUGGUACAGAGAAGGCAGAAGUGGGGUGACAGCAUCGAUUUAAAGCAGAAUGUGCUGUGCCCUGAAAGUGAGCGGAGUUCUAGGCUAAUUUGGAAAGACCACAACUAAAGGCCACUCAGAGUUUGCUGAGAUUCCCACAGAUGUGUCUGCUUCAGCUCUUAUAGACCGAUUCACUGGUGUCCUACCAGAAACACAUGAAUAAUCACAGCUUGCAUGGUAAAAAUCUUAUGUGGUACUAUACGAACAAGAAAAUAAAACAGUACUAGUCCAGAAAUGUUGGUCUUCAUUGUUUACCUUUCCUUCAUCCUUCUCCAAUAUCUUCCCAGCUCUUUAAAAUACUCACACGGCUGCAUUUCUAUGAGAUCACACUUUGAUGGAUCACCCAUCAAGUCCAACACAGCUCUCCCCUUAUCCUUUUCUCCCAACAAACAAACAAACAAACCCAAAACCCAACUCUUUAGCUAACAACAAAAUCAAGCAGCUUUUUGGAAGUGAAACAGCUGCUACCUCUGAGGCAAAAAGGAAAUGGAUUUUUCCGGCUGUUAAGCAACAGGCUCUGUGCUAAAUGUUUUUUGUAAGGGGGCCUGCUGAAACAGCUGUGGACUCAGAGAGCCUUGUAUAGGACCUAGCAGUCGGUCAUUUGAAUGAUGUUUGGUCUUACAAAGGUUACACCAGAGAGAGGAAUUAUAUGAACAAACGCUUUGCAGGACUGGGCUCUGUGGUAGUAAACACCCCAAGACUUACACCUGUGAAUAACUUCACUGGUGAGUGUAACUACAUUUCAGUGGGGCUCUUCACAUGUGUAAAGUCAUUACAUUAUAAUCACCACACAACCAUAUGCUACUAGAUCAAUAGUACUAAUGGCAAUAAAUUCACAUUGCCAACAGUUGCCAGUAACUUUUCCAAUGCAGGAACUUUGCAAAGGACCAGGGAAAUUUGAAUGAAUGCUACUCCUCCAAAAAGGAAGGCUGUUUUCAGGACUCGGCCAAGUGUUCUACCAGCCCCUUGGAGAUCAUGUUUGAGUAAUUGCAAAACCUUAUGGUCCAUUAUAAUGUUAAUUCUUAGCUUCGGCUGGCUAGUUGUUGUCAAGAAAUAUAAUUAGAUGUUGUGUAGCUACGCUACAAACUGGAAGGAAUGCUAAGAAUGCCCUUGCUUACAAGUAGAGGAACAAUAUUAAGAGACCACAAGUUGAAGCAUGUAUCCUGGGAGUUGUAAAGAAUGUACAUACAUGCACCUCUACAGAGACUGAAAAAGAAUCAGAUUAAAGAUCAGUUAAUAGCAGGCAUGUAUCCCCACCCCAGUGCACACACAAAGCCCCACAUGUCCAAAACACAAACCAAUUAGAAAAAGCAAUCCAAAGACAACCCUCAAAUUCUGUCCUGAACUCAUAAGAACUUAAAAACGGCCAUAAUGAGUCAGACCAAUGGUCCAUCUAGCCCAGUAUCCUGUCCUCCGACAAAGG